GGUUCGGGCUGUUCGGGCUCGGCCGAUCCUCCCACCCUUUGUGUACCUACCUCUGUUGCUUUGGCGGGCCGCGGUCCUCCGCGGCCGCCCCCCUCCCCGGGGGGGUGGCCAGCGCCCGCCAGAGGACCAUCAAACUCCAGUCAGUAAACGAUGCAGUCUGAAAAACAUUUAAUAAACUAAAACUUUCAACAACGGAUCUCUUGGUUCUGGCAUCGAUGAAGAACGCAGCGAAAUGCGAUAAGUAAUGUGAAUUGCAGAAUUCAGUGAAUCAUCGAAUCUUUGAACGCACAUUGCGCCCUUUGGUAUUCCGAAGGGCAUGCCUGUUCGAGCGUCAUUACAACCCUCAAGCUCUGCUUGGUAUUGGGCACCGUCCUUUGCGGGCGCGCCUCAAAGACCUCGGCGGUGGCGUCUUGCCUCAAGCGUAGUAGAACAUACAUCUCGCUUCGGAGCGCAGGGCGUCGCCCGCCGGACGAACCUUCUGAACUUUUCUCAAGGUUGACCUCGGAUCAGGUAGGGAUACCCGCUGAACUUAAGCAUAUCAAUAAGCGGAGGAA
rnacentral:rRNA from 1 species